rnacentral:miRNA from 1 species
UGGUGCAGGUCGGGAACUGCU